UUGAUUUUCGGUGGGUUUAAUUUUUCCUCUCCUUUCUUUUACUGUACCGUAGCAGAUUGUGUCUUAGAUUAUGGUUCCGUGUGAGCCAGAGGAGGACACUGGUUCGGGCAUCCAAUUGGUCCGACCGUCCGAUCAGAAAUCUCCCUACGACAUUUUCGGAAUAUCAUGUUGGCUGUUUGAAGGAUCACCGUAUGGAAGAGCUUAGGAUAUCUAUCAAAUAUUCCAGCCGAGGGUCUUAAUCUGUUGGUGGAAGCGAUGGAGGAAGCAAUAAAUGAAGAACAAGCUGUUGGAUAUUAGAUUGUAAUAUCAGAUCAAUUUCAGGAAACUGCUUUGGAGCCCUGUUUUGCUAUUACUUAUUUUCUUGGAAAUAUUAUCAUGGAUUCUGAUUUUAUUGAUUUAGAUGUUUUGGAACAACAAUUGUUAGAAAGUUGAGGAGUUUAGGAUCUAUGAGGUGUAUAAAUUCUC